UGGGGAAUAUUGCACAAUGGGGGAAACCCUGAUGCAGCGACGCCGCGUGAACGAAGAAGGUAUUCGUAUCGUAAAGUUCUGUCCUAUGGGAAGAUAAUGACAGUACCAUAGAAGAAAGCUCCGGCUAAAUACGUGCAAGCAGCCGCGGUAAUACGUAUGGAGCGAGCGUUUUCCGGAAUUAUUGGGCGUAAAGGGUACGCAGGCGGUUUAAUAAGUCGAAUGUUAAAGAUCGGGGCUCAACCCCGCAAAGCAUUGGAAACUGAUAAACUUGAGUAGUGGAGAGGAAAGUGGAAUUCCUAGUGUAGUGGUGGAAUACGUAGAUAUUAGGAGGAAUACCAGUAGCGAAGGCGACUUUCUGGACACAAACUGACGCUGAGGUACGAAAGCGUGGGGAGCAAACAGG
rnacentral:rRNA from 1 species